rnacentral:tRNA from 1 species
GGAUGGGUGGCCGAGUGGUCGAAGGCAGCGGUCUUGAAAACCGCCGGGCGGGCAACCGUUCCGUGGGUUCGAAUCCCACCCCAUCCGCCA